GCCAGCAGCAUACCACCCUGCAUCUCACUGCUGGCUUGCUUCUGAAGCUAAGCAGGGUUGGUCCUGGAUGGGAGACCAGAUGCUGCUGGAA
rnacentral:rRNA from 1 species